rnacentral:rRNA from 1 species
AUGUCGAUGGAUGCAACCGGUGGUUACCAAUGCUACAACCCCGUCCUCGGCACUGUGGUGACACGCACACCGGCGAUGCUACAACGGCAAGACGAAGUGCUACUACCGGCAAGUUUUUUUUGCUGGAUCCGGCUUCGUUUUUUGCUGGAAUCGACUAAUUUUUUUUGCUUCAACAGAUUACUGGACUUUUUGUUGCUUAAAUUUGUUUUGCUGAAAUCGAUGUUAAUUUUUGCUGUAACUGGCUUCGUUUUUUGCUGGAAUCGGCUAAUUUUUUGCUUCAACGUAUUACUUGAUUUUUUUGGUGCUGAAUUUUGUUUCCUGGAACCGAUGUUAAUUUUUUUGCUGGAACCGGCUUCGUUUUUGCUUCAACCAUGUAUUGGAGUUUUUGGCUAG